AUUGCGCUAGUUCAGCGAACACUCCCUUAUUUCUCUCGCCUUUUACUAGAGGAAUCCGUGUUCAUUGGAUGCUUAAAAGCGUUUAUUCAAUGUUUCUCGCCGCUCUGCGGUAAA
rnacentral:snRNA from 1 species